CUCAUAGCUUCUAAGUCACUUCUCUUCUUUGCAGGUUCCUCAUGUUACUCGUACUGAUUAUCAACUGAUUGAUAUUUCUGAAGAUGGUUUUGUGAGUCUUUUGACUGAGAAUGGUAACACCAAGGAUGACUUGAAGCUUCCCACCGAUGAAAGUCUGCUCAGCCAGCUUAAAGAUGGUUUU